GACGAACGCUGGCGGCGCGCCUAACACAUGCAAGUCGAGCGAGAAGCGGGACUUCGGUCCCGUGGAGAGCGGCGAACGGGUGCGUAACACGUGAGCAACCUGCCCCGAAGACCGGGACAACCGAUGGAAACGUCGGCUAAUACCGGAUGCCCUCACCGGAUCGCAUGGUCUGGUGAGGAAAUGGAUUCCGCUUCGGGAUGGGCUCGCGGUCUAUCUGCUUGUUGGUGGGGUAACGGCCCACCAAGGCGACGACGGAUAGCUGGUCUGAGAGGACGAUCAGCCACACUGGGACUGAGACACGGCCCAGACUCCUACGGGAGGCAGCAGUGGGGAAUCUUGCGCAAUGGGGGAAACCCUGACGCAGCGACGCCGCGUGCGGGAUGAAGGCCUUCGGGUUGUAAACCGCUUUCAGCAGGGACGAAAUUGACGGUACCCACAGAAGAAGCCCCGGCUAACUCCGUGCCAGCCGCCGCAGUAACAC
rnacentral:rRNA from 1 species